AAUUAUAUCUCUUUCGGUUUGAAGAUAUUUCUAGUAUGAAGUGCGUUUUACAUAACAUAUUUACAAUCUUGAUACUGUUGCUGGUGUUGGGUGAGUACACAUAAAGAUAGGCUAAAAUAAGGGGAAAAAGGGUGGUGGGGAGGGGGGGUAAAACAGAAAAAAAUCUACCUGAUAUAGGAGGUAAAUCUAAUUAUCUUACCUCCUCUACAUUUCUAGGAAUAUGAUUGGUUAAAAGCGUCCUCGUGGAAACCGUGUAUAUUUAAUAUUUGGUUAGUUGGGAGGCGGAGCUUAUUUCAUACACGGUUAGUAGUGGAGAUACGUCCCUUUAUAUUCCAUAUAAGGUAAUAAGGACGCGGGGCUUAUUUCAUACACGGUUAGUAGUGGUGUUACGUCCCUUUAGAAAAAUAAAACAGUACUGAGACGAAGAAAGUGAUGAUAAAGUGAAAUAAAUUCAUAAAACACAUUUAAAUCUAACAAGUUGUCAUUGUUGGCAUCUGUUUUUGUAGGAUCAAAGGAAGUAGUUUCUUAAUUAUAUUAAUGCUAACUGUAUUGAAGACUUGCUCAUUCAGAUAGGUCACUUGUAUAAAUUUUACACAUAAAGAUAGUUGGUAAGAUAAAUUCGUUAUAUAGUGUGCUAGUGACGUAAUACGGUAUAUAUGGGGUUAGUAAAUUCCAUAUGGGGAUUCGAGCUUCGCUCUCACCCCAUAUGGAAUUUACUGACCCCAUAUAUACCGUAUUAGGUCACUAGCACACUAUGUAACUAAUAUGAUUACCUCGAGUAAAGUAAGUUUUGGUUGGUCCCAAAAAAAAUUAUCCAAAAGUUUACAACUAAUUCACAAAUACAUAUCAACUGUUGAAAUUGAUUCUCAGUUGGACCAUAAGUGGAUAUUCAUUUUUUUAAUCACCUAAUAGUACAAUAAUAUGACUUUGUGUUUUAAGAAUGGAAUUCAUGAUAUUGACUCUCUAAUAUUAAAAAAAUAGAUUGGAUAUUGUCGAUAUCCCUUAUAUGUGUUUUUAAUUUCAAUUGAUAUCGAUGCAAAUUACAAAUGUUGUUUUAUCACAAAAGAGGGACGAAAGAUACAAGAGAGACAGUCAAACUCAUAGAUUGUAAAUAAAAUGACAACGCCAUGGCUAAAAAUAAAAAGACAAACAAACAAACAAUAGUAGAGCAAGAAAACAUAGAAAACUUUAAACUAAGCAACACGAACCCCACCAAAAAUUGCACGAUAGCUUUUGUAACGAUUUUACAUGUGUAUGUGUUAAAGGUUUGAAAUAAACAAGAAAUCAAUUGUAAGAUAUACAUUUACAAUCCUUUUGUUCACUUUAGAGACAAUCAUAAGGUUGCCCUUUGUGUUGUGAUUUUUUUUAUUAUAAAUCACUUGAAUUGUCUCGUGUUCAUCUUCAAAUAUCCUCUAUCGCCAAAGUUUUGAUUCACUGUCUCCAUGAAACUCGCAUGAAAAAAGCUAAAGUUUCUGAUUUAGAUAUUUAUUUUGAAUAAUUGUGCUUUAUAAGCAUACGACACUCUCUAUACAUUGAUAUAGGUUUGUCGUGCAUAGUCAGCCCCCUUUUACAUCUUUGUAAAACUAUAAAAGUAGAAUAAAAAACUGAUGAAUAAUCUCCCUUUACAAAAUUUAGGAGACGUAUGCUUGUCAAUUAGCCAACUAUACACUAGUGACAUAUAUAUAUACAUAGAUAGAUAUAAUUAUCAUAUAGAGAUUUUAUGGAUAAUUUGAUUCUACGGAACAGUGUGACACAUAUAUUUUUAAAUCUUUUAAAUUAAAGUUCAAAUUUAAAGUCGGUAGAAUAAAGGUCAUCUUGCAUUUUUUUGCAUAAUACUAGUAUAUGCGCUUUUAAAGAAUAUACGCAGUACUUUUUGUGACUUAUUGUUGAUAAAUAGUUUCUUAUAAAUGCAGAAAAACAGUAAAAAUAAAAAUUAAAAUUAAGUUAUUUUAUAAAAACAAAUUAAAUGGUAUAAACUGUUCAAAAUCUUAAUUUUCUCGAUAUCAAGUGCAAUCAUUUUUUUUCUGUUAUGACUACGGACGGAAAAGGGGAGUAAAAUAAGUCCUUGCUUUUCCUCUUUUUCCUGUGCAAUUUAACGCUUACCCAACAAUAAACAUCGAUAAGUUGACAGCAUAGUUACGUUAGCCCAGAAGCAUUUGUCUCUCAAAAAAAUCCCUUUAUACCUUAAUAUAACACUAGGUACUUUACUCGCAUUUUGAAAAAUCUCAACCGGUCGCAAACUUCCUUUAUAUUUCGAUUUCUUUGUUGUCUACCUAAUUUAUACUUGUUAUGCCGUAAAUCUAAUUAAACUCAUCAUAGAUACCAGGAUAAAAAAAAUGUAUUGACAUUUUUGUUGGAAAAGAUUUGUUCUUUUUCCAAUUUGUAGAAAUCAUAUUGUAACGUAUUUUUAAAGUUGCUACUACUGUACACUCUUGAUCUUUGCUUCUGGUGUUUGAUCAAAAUUUUACAGUAAUCUUUAUGAAUUGUGCUUACUUCGUCUAUAUACUUCUUGCUAGCUUAUCUGGUUUCAAAUUAAAUUCUAUAUAAUUUAUAUAUGAAUUUUAAAAGGUUUGCAGACAUAUUGAACGUUUCUGUUUCUGUUUCUGUUUUAAGUUGUGUUGUGGGAGCUACCAUUUGAUUUUCAUGGGGUAGGAAUAAAAUUUGAAAUAUGGCAGGAUCGGAGUUUUGAGUGCACUCCUGCAAAUUGAACCAAAAUGACAGAAUGACAAUUCAUGUAAAAAAAGUCAGGAUCAACUGAUAAAAAAGGCAAGAACGAAUAGGGUGACAAAGAUUACACCUAAAUUAAUGCAGGUCAAUUUUGUUCAUCCUUACAACCCAUCAAUCCCCCUCCCUUCCCACCUGUAAAAAGCAAAUGGAAGUUCUGUAAGACUCAAUUAAGUAUCUAUGUGCAUAUGCGCAUAAAAUGUAUUCAUUCAUUUACUUAUAUUCUCAGUGACUAAGGGAAGAACAGAAGUCGACGAUUGCUACUACUAUUAUAUGACCUAUGAUUGUGAAAAUAACGAGUAAGACUUGAACUACAGUCAUACACACAUAUUCUUAUUAUUGUGUCAAAAACCUUAGCCGUAUUUGGAGUAACUUUUUGGAAUUAGGGGGUCCUCAAUGCUCUUCAACUUUGUACUUGUUUGGCUGUAUAAUUAUUUUGAUCUGAGCGUCACUGAUGAGUCUUAUGCAGACGAAACGCGCGUCUGGCGUACUAAAUUAUAAUCCUGGUACCUUUGAUAACUAUAUAUGGUGAGUGCGAACCUUACGGAUGUGAUAGGUGAGUUCAACUCAAAACUUCAUUAAUUUGAAUUGACAGUGUUCCUACCAAAGAUCUGUGGUUCUCUCAUUGCACUCCGUCGUCCUCCUCCGUCACAAUGACAGGAUGUAUAAGUACAGAGCCACGUCAAAUGAAUAUUACCAAAAACAUAGAACAAAUAAAUGGUUUACUUUUAAAAAUUGUGACUUGGAUAGAGAGUUGUCUCAUUGGCACUCAUACCACAUCUUAUUAUAUCUAUAAACAGUUGAAGUAUAUUCAUAAAGACAAAUAAAAGAAUACUAAAACACGUUAUUAUGAUGAUGAACAACGUCAGUAAUCAUAAUCUAUACUUCAAGACCUUCCAGUAUUAUUUUAUUAUUUGUGAAGUUGAUACGGAUUUUUUCAUCAAUAAGGUCUAGGUACCUUAUGAUAAACUGUUUGUUUUGUUUGAUAAAAGACCACAAGAUCCAAUGUCUGAGCAGAAAGUUGAUGAACCAGGAGUAUGUCACAUAACGUCUAGUCCUUUUUCUAAAAAACAUCGGAAGGUACCAAGGCCUUGUUGAUAAAUGUUCCGUAUCAACUUCACAAAUAAUUACAUGAUGGUCUUGGUGUAUAGAUUCUGCGAUCUGACGUUGUUAAUCAUCUUAAUAACGUGUUAUUUUGUUCUUUUAUUUGUCUUUGUUCUAUCUUUAUUAAUACUUUAACUGUUUGGUCUGUUUUCGGUGAUAUCUAUUUGACGUGGCUCGGUACUUGUACAUCCCAUCCAUACGUGUGACUUUUUGUGUUUCUUUGGUACAUAUGACUAGGCUCGGUACUUUUAACCAUCCCGUCAUGAUGGUAUUGUUCUAUUAUAAUGUCAUUAUGUUAUGGUUCUUUUAUACUUUUGAAAAUACAUUGAAUGACAAAAUUAUUUUAUAUCUCUUCCUGUGUGACGUUUACAUUCUGACGUCAAACACGCGACUCUACACUAGAGAUGAUGUAAACCUUACCAUUCAGUCACGGGACUUCAAAUAUUUCAAUCCUUUAUGGGUUGAUUUAAAAUACAUAUAUAAGUAAGCAAUGAAUGUGGUUGUUAAAUUUGAUAGAUUCUUUUGUAUGUUUCUUUGUUAAAUCUUUGUAUGUUUUUGUUCAAAUUGAAAUUCUGACACGAUGAUGACUGCUGUACCCCUAUUUUGACCUAUUAUAUCUGUUUUGUUCACGCAUCGCUGUAAAUAUAAUAACAUUAACGGUACCAAUUUUCCUGCACCAGAUGCGCAUUUCGACAAUACAUGUCUCUUCAGUGAUGCUCGUGGCCAAAAUAUUUGAAAUCCAAAGCUUAUAUAAAAAAUGAAGAGCUAUAGGAAUUUGAUUGAUUGAUUGAUUGUUUUUUGCUCUAUGUCGCAUUACCACAAAAAGGCUAUAUCGUGGCGAUAAUGGAAUUUGAUGCGAUUGCAUACAAGUGAGAGGUUUAGCGCUAUAAUCGAGGUUCAAUCCACCAUUUUCUACAUUUGAAAAUGCCUGUACCAAGUCAAGAAUAUGAAAGUUGUUGUCCAUUCGUUUGAUGAGUUUUAUCAUUUGAUUUUGCCAUUUGAUAAGGGACUUUCCGAUUUGAAUUUUCCUUAGAUUUCAGUUGUUUUGUGAUAAUAUUUAUACCACUGGUUAAAUAACUUUUUUCUCGGACACAGGUAACGUUUAAAAAGUCUGAGUAGCAGCUAAAAGGUCUUGUGAACCGAAAAAGUUGGGAAAUGUAUAUCCCAUAUGAAGGUGAAGUUGGAAUAUUGCUACUAACUUAUCAUUAAACAACUAAGCUCAUGACUAUCUAGUCACCACGGCAAAUCGUCCUUAAGACUGGUCCCAUAAGGUCCAAUACAAGUUCAAUUUUUAUAAUAUAUUUAAAAAAUAUCAUAUUAACAUAAUCAAAGAAACAACGACGGAAACUAUCAUAUAUAGCAGAAAUAGCUAUUACUUUUGUUUUAUAUUUUGAAUCAAUCCAACUUUUGUAGUACUUUUUCCAGAACACCAAUUUAUUCUUUUAUUUGUCUAUAGCUACUAUGGUAAUCAUGUUUGGCAAUCGAAAAGGAAGUAUUCAUUGGCUUUUGAACUCUAUUGCAAUUGGUCCGAUUCUUACGCAAAAUGUUCUGACGGAGAGUAGUUGGAUAAAAGUGCUUUUUAAUGAAAUAUUGUGCUUUAUUGACAUUUCAUAUUAAAAUGGUGAUCUUUGACGUAUUUCAAGACUCACUUUUGUGUUAAAGUCGUUAUUAUACGUUUUCUAUUGACAGACUUGUUGAAUCAAUAGUCGGAGGAGUAAUUGGAGGUCUCUUUGCACUCGGUAUAUUGAUAUUUUUCAUAUGUGUAUGCUAUCAUAAAAAAACAGCACGACCAGGACGCGUGGUAAAUCCAACAGCUGUUCCUACUGUAACACAAACUCAGUGUAAGUUUACCUUUAUCAUUGUUGAACUAUACAGAAGAAAGGAAUAUGGAGGAAGAUGACGCCAUCCUCGUGGUUUUCUUUUUUUUUAAACAAAUACUGUUUAAUAAAACUUAAAACACAUUUGUGAUUUCCUACGGUUUUUACUCAAAGAAAGCAUUUCACAUACCUAUAGUUAUCAACAAAACAUGCAAAACACCGUAUCUGAAACAUUGUUGAAUUUGAAAUUUGAACUCAAUAGAUUCUACAUGUUUAAAAUCACAACAGUCAUUUUACAAAACAAAAAAGAAAGCUCUUACCUUUUUAUAUAAAGGCAUACGAUAUAAACAGCACACAUUUGUUGUUUCUUCUGUGUAAAUUCAUCAACGUUUUUACAUCAAUGAUAUGAAAGAGGGACGAAAGAUACCAGAGAUUGAUAAUAAAUUGACAACGACAUUGCUAAAAAGAAAAACACAAACAGAAAAAUAAUAGUACAGAAGACACAACAUAGAAAACUAAAGACUCAGCUAAACGAACCCGACCUAAAACAGGGAGUGAUCUCAGGUGCACCGGAAGUGUAAGCAGAUCCGUCGUGUUGCUUAUGUUAUUUCAAAUCCGGAAAAUAGUUUAAUUCGGUAGGUCACAUUCGUGAAAAGGUAAGGGUUUUGUAGUUAAAGAACAUAUCCGAUAUCGUCUGUUAAACAGUUAUUCCAUAACCAACUCGUGAUGGCGUCCGUAAAAUUUACGAAGUGAUGAUACCAACUUCACCAUUUGGAACUCUUGGUUGAAUAGCUUCCUUGUGAGCAGCAAUCCUCUAUCAAGGAAAUCAUGGUAGGGAAUACAAGCCCGGGAAUAUCUUAUCAAUUGGGAGUUAUAUACUUCGUAUGCAGGCGCUGCUGGAAUGUUGCUACAUAGAAAUGGAAAGUUCACAAUUGGGAGAUAUGACUUUCAGAUGCUUCCGAAGCACCCGACUUCGUCCGAUUGUUUAAUGGUUUGUUUCUUUAUAUUUUUACCUUUUUUGUAAUGUUUUGUAAACACCGGGUUUGGGGACGGAUAUCGUCUUCGUUUGUUUUAUUUUUGUGUUUUUUUCUCCAUCUAACGGGGUUUUAAUCCCCCUCGGUGAUUUGUUUGUUUUCAAAACCAUUCAUAAUGCAUAUCUUCUUUUCCAGUUGGUGGAACCUAUGGUAAUAAUUUUUCGAACCACACAACCACCCAGUUUGGAUCUCAGUUUACAUAAUGUCAACAGCAACAGUCCCAGCCUAAUCCGUAUCAACAACAGUCCCAGCACGAUCCGUAUGCUCCACCACCAGCAUUUAGUUACUAGCAUAACAAGUUGGAUAUUGAUUCCGCGUGAUAGAGAUGUUACAUAGUCACUUUCAUAAAGACAGUACUAAAAUAAAUUGUGUAUUGACUUUAAUGAAUAAAAUUAUUCGUAAAAUAUAUUGCCGCUCUGAGUCUAUCAAUAGCAAAGUUGAUUAUGCCAUUGUUAAAGAACGGAAAACUAAACAAGAUCGUUCAUCAUUAUCAUAGAACAGUCAGUUUAUAUCAAACUAUAAUAUCUGAGCGUAAAAAAAACAAUUAGCAAAUAAUCAAAUGUGCGAAAUGAUAUGAAUUUCUAUGACUUUGUUUAUUCUAGAUAUGUUUUGCAAUGCGAGCACAUACACAAACUUUUUUUGUCAUUUUUGUUGGUGUAAACUACAAACAAAAUGAAUUGGUGUUUUUAUCAAAUUUACUAUCAAUUACAAAAAUAUUUUUAUUUGCGUCUUUUUUUUAUUUUAUUCAUUUUAUAUGAUUGU
rnacentral:lncRNA from 1 species